AGGGAUUAAGCAAGAACUAACAAAUCUACCCCGGGCUCUUGCUAAUUCAAUCAUACAUGAACAGUUAUACUCAAAGGGCAUUCAAUAGUUCCCGAGUAAAUUUUAACACCAUUAGGACACAACUUGCCCAACACAUGUCUUACAAAAUCUACAUCCCGAUCAUUCAUAAAUUUCUUGGUUUCACUAUCAUCAGUGUUUCUCAAGUUAAAAAUAAUAUUUAUAAAUUCAGCAUCAAAGCGAAUGAUUUUACCUCUCACGGUUGAAGUAUGACUUACUGGAUUAAGAUUGUUGUAGAGCUCCAAGACUAUGUCUCGAUUGUAGUUUCCCGGGAACUGAACACAAGACCUCCACCCAAAAGCAUUGACUGUUUGUAAAAUUUCUUGUGCCUUCGAACCAUCCGAAGGGAAAAGCAACAUCUCAUAUUAUUCAACUACUCUCCAAUUUGCCGCUCUAAGUCUCCAUGAUUCCGGGUCAAGGAUUUCCUUCUAGAGUUCUUUGAGUUAUUUGAAAGAGUUACUUGUGCAAUAUUUAUUUAUUUUUUUUAUAUUUUUUUCAGGUGAAAAUUAAGCAUCUAACCAGAUUUGUGCUUUUGGAAAAUUUAACAGAGAAGAAACAAAGAGGUGUAAAGAUAGUGAAAAUCAUUGAAGAUAAGGAAAAGAGAAAAAAGAAAUUCUUUCUUUUUCUUAUGUGAAAGCCAUGGCUGAGAAAUUACAGAGAUAUGUGAGGUACUGUAAAAUGGGGGUUGAAGCAAGAGAAAGGAAGGGGUUUUCCGUUACUGUGGAAUUGUUUGUUUUGUUUGUGGGAGAUAAAAAAGUGAGGUUAAAACCUCUUAUUUAUUUACUGUAACAACCCGAUCGGUCAUUUAGAGGUUUUGUACUUUGAUCACCAGUUCUCAGGUAUGACUUGCCACGUAUGAUGUAUUAUGAGUGAUCUAAAUCGUUGGUUUUGGUUUUUACAGAAAUCAGUAAGAAUCUGAAAGAACUGUCUCAGUUGAAAGCUUUGAAUUUAAAAGGUUUGACCAAGAUUUGACAUAUAUGUAUAUGAGCUCGGAUCAGAAUUCUUAUAAUUUGGUUAGCUUCGUUAAGCGAUUUAUGACUUAGGAGUGUGAUCAUAAUUGGUUUGGGAGGUCGAGAGUAGAUUUUGACGAUUUUCGGUUGGUAAGGGAAAUUUUUGAUCCGGGAGUCAGAAUGGAAUUCCUAGAGUUGCAGUAUCUUCGUUAUGUCAUUUGGGGUGUGUGCGCAAAAUUUCAGGUCAUUCGGAUGUGUUUGGUUGGGUUUUUAAUCGAAAGCGUAUUUCAGACGUUUUUGGAAAAUUUAGACUAGAAUUCGAUGAGUUUUGGGUGGUUUGAUAUUGUUUGAGGUACUUUGAUGAUUGGAACAAGUUUGAAUAAGGUUUUAGGAUGUGUUGGUGGCAUUGGUUGAGGUCCUGGGGUCUCGGGUGAGUUCUGGGAGGUCAAUUGGAUCAUUUUUGGAGUUGACAAUUGCAGAAAAAUCAGCCCUGCUGUUGUAGGUAUUUUGGCCUUCGCGUUCACGAAGGGAAGCUCACAUUCGCAAAAGGCUGGGUUCUUGAAGCUACACGUUCACGAAGGGUUCAUCUGGAUGUUCAUUAUGCUGGCAUUAUGGUUUAUGCGAUCGAGUAUAGGGAAUUUAGUCCUAGGAGAAUUUCUCAUCGCAUUCGCUGUUGAUGUGAAAAUUUUUGAGUUUUGAGAAGUGGGACCGGGGCUCAAGUUUUACUAGUUUUGAGAUUUUUGAUAUUUUUCGAUUGUUUUUGCUUGGGCUUUGUUUCCUUGGCAUAUUAUGAUGUAUUCGUUCUGGUUUUGCAUAGAUUCGACGCGCGUGGAGGACGAAUCGAGGGGCAAGGCAUCAUGAGCUAGAGAUUUCAUCGAUUCAAGGUGAGUAAUGAUUGUAAAUGAUAUCUUGAGGGUUUGAAACCCAAUAUUUGCACAUCGUAGUGCGGUAGUGAGGUAAGGCACGCUCUUGAUGAUGAGCGUGGGGUCGUUUAUUAUUGGAGAUUGUGACUUGCUCCGUCCCGAUUGAUUAUUUUACCACGUAUUCGACUGUAACUCAUUUGUUAUCAUCAUGAUUUGUAUUGAUUGUCAUGUUUGGGCUUCGUGCCAACUAGUUGGACUCUCCAGGGAUUUUAUCACUAUUUCCUUAAUGUUUUGACUUACUACUUGAACUCAGUCGUACCGUUUUCCUCUAUUUUACAAGUCAGCCACUUUUACUCGAUUUUGUAACUAAAAUGAUAUAUUAAAUAAUAUUUGGGCUGAGAACUACUGUUUUACUAAUGUCCGAGGGGCUUAUGUGAUUGCUGGACUAAGUAUGGCCGAGGGCUAGAUGUGAGGAUACUAUGGGAUCGGGUUGCGCGCCACAACAGUGUUAUACUGAUACUGACAUAAGGCCGAUGGCCUAGAUUUGAUGCCACAAGAUGGCUUCAUAUUGCGCUUGGGCCGUAAGGGGCCCCUCCCUGGGUUUGCACACCCCUAAUGAGCGCCAUCGAUGCGAUUUAUAGAUCAUGAUGAAUGUAGUAGCGAUGUAUGGAUAAGGCUUCACGUUGCAGCGGCGCUGAUGCUAUUCUAUGUGUUACUUUAUUUCAUUUGCCUGCUAUUAUAUGUUGUUUGGGCUACUUUAUGUGAACCUACCUGAUUGCCUAGCAUUAUAUGUUAAUAGAGUGUUUGUGCCCUAGGGGUAGAUUUUUGUGCUUAUCUGCACUAUUUUUUGCAUUCAUUUGCGUAACCGUUGAAAAAGUCAUUUUCAAAGAGGUUUAAACUGAGCUAAGAUAGUUUCUAAAGAGUUCACUGCUUCACUGCUUUUCUCAAAAGGGUUUUACACUACUCUAUAUAGCAUGAUGGUCUAUCUUACGUGAUUUCUUACUGCUCAGUUAUUAUUUACCUUUAUUACUCACUGAAUUGGAGUACUCACUUUACUCCUUGCACCUCGUGUGCAGAUGCAGGUGUUUGUUCGCCCGAUAGCGGGUUCUAAGCUGAUCAGAGGCUAAGUUAUCCGAGUUUAGCGAGGUGAAUGCCAGCGUUCGAA
rnacentral:lncRNA from 1 species